CGAACAGGAUUAGAUACCCUGGUAGUCCACGCCCUAAACGGUGGGCACUAGGUGUAGGGCUCGCAAGGGUUCUGUGCCGAAGCGAAAGCAUUAAGUGCCCCGCCUGGGGAGUACGGCCGCAAGGUUGAAACUCAAAGGAAUUGACGGGGGCCCGCACAAGCGGUGGAGCAUGUGGUUUAAUUCGACGCAACGCGAAGAACCUUACCUGGGCUUGACAUGUUAGUGGUAAAAACCCGAAAGGGCGAUGACCUGUAGCAAUACAGGAGCUAACACAGGUGCUGCAUGGCUGUCGUCAGCUCGUGCCGUGAGGUGUUGGGUUAAGUCCCGCAACGAGCGCAACCCUUAUCCUCUGUUACCCCGUAAGGGGGUCUCUGAGGAAACUGCCGGCGAUGAGCUGGAGGAAGGCGGGGAUGACGUCAAGUCAUCAUGGCCCUUAUGUCCAGGGCUACACACGUGCUACAAUGGCUGCUACAGAGGGGUGCAAGACCGCGAGGUGGAGCCAAUCCCUAAAAGCAGUCGUAGUUGGGAUCGGAGUCUGCAACUCGACUCCGUGAACGUGGAAUCGCUAGUAAUCGUGGAUCAGCACGCCACGGUGAAUACGUUCCCGGGCCUUGUACACACCGCCCGUCACACCACGAAAGCCUGUUGUACCCGAAGCAGGUGCGCUAACUCGCAAGAGAGGCAGCCUUCUAAGGUAUGGCCGGUAAUUGGGGUGAAGUCGUAACAAGGUAACCGUA
rnacentral:rRNA from 1 species